rfam:Acidithiobacillus sp. GGI-221 contig_1211, whole genome shotgun sequence.
GCGCUCGUAGCUCAGCUGGAUAGAGCAACUGGCUACGAACCAGUAGGUCGGCGGUUCGACUCCGUCCGAGCGCA